GUAUGGUUUGACCCUCCAGCUGUGGA
rnacentral:sRNA from 1 species